AUAAUCUACAAGUAAAACUGUGAUAUGUAUUUCCAACUGAAUUGGUCCACUUACCUCAGCUGUUCCACAGGACCUGCCAUUUCUACCGGAGAAAGAAUUCACGUUUGACGAUAAAUUUACGUAAUUCUUUUUGCGCAGAGAAGGCGAAUUAUGUCGCGCUGACUCCGCACAGUGCUAAAUGACAGCUCAUCGUACGUCAGGUUAGAAACGAGCGCGCGACGUAGUGGUCAAGUGCUCCCGAGUAUUCACAUCUGCCUACCUUUCACCCGGCAAUGUUGGCCGCGAGGAAACUGCCGUUCGACGAAAUACGCGUCGCGUUUGCGAGCAACAUCUGGACGUUCGAUCUAGUACGACGGACACUGCGGUCUUUCUAUUACGAUACCAUAUUGUUGACAAGUGCAGUGGCAUUGGUGGGGGGAAGAUAAAUCCCCUCCAACACGCGCCGACGUUAUCGCGUGACGUCACGCGCGUACCUGUCAUUAUGCACGUGUUGCAGUCGCACGUGCGAUCGAUUGCGAUCGAAUGCAGGAUAACAUUAAUGAUUAGUAUAUGUAUUAUACUUUUCAAAAUUUUCUUUGAUAUUGAUUUUCUGAAUAUAUACUUUUAAAACUCUCUUGUGUCGCGCAGAGAUAUUAAUCGCGGUUAAUAUCAAUCAGCUGAUUAUGACAGUUCGUCUUACGAAUGCAAAAUCGAUUCUUUUAACGAAAUUUCAUGCUUGGAAUAAUUACAGAAUUGUGUAAUAUUACAGAAUAUUUAAUAUUGAAGCUUUCAAUUUUUAGCUAAUUAGAUUAAAAAAGUUGAUAGGACAUUUUUCGAAAUAUGUCAGAAAAUUAUAUCAAGGUAAAGCUUGUAUAAAAAAUGUAUCAUACGUUUAUUACAUUAGUUUGGAAGCAACGCAUGCACUUCCAAUUCAAUGAUUUACAAUAUUAUUAGACUCACUCAUUGUUCGUGAUGAAUAGCAUAUAUGUACAAUAUACGCUCAUUCUCGCGAAUCAUCAGUGUUACAAAAACUUUUACAAAAGAUUUAUUGCUUCGAGAUUUCUUUUCUUUCUCUCUUGAGACGCUCAAAUUAUAUAAUGACAUAUUGUAAUGAAUUAUUUACAGAGCAAUGAGAAAACAUGAUCGUUUGUCACAUCGCAACAUCUACAAACAGCGAGACUUAUUGUCAUCAAUAAUAAAAGAUUCUGGCUAAUCAGUACAUCAUUCCGGGAUGAGCUGCCCUCUGGAAGAACACAUUGGGAUUGGCCGACAAGGUCGUGUAGAGAUUUCCGGCAUCCUCCGGCCUCAAGUACAUACCAGGUGGCAAAACGAACGUCUCCAUCGGUCCAUGCACAUCUAGACGCCUCCGCAGGUUUGAAGUGAAAGAAGGAGGGCGAGUAGCCGCUGCCGGGAAGGGAACUAAGGGCGUCGUCGCGAUCGCGAAUGACAGCUGCGGGACCCUCGCGACCCAGGGCGGCCAGCUGACGACCCUUGGGCAGGAACAUGGUGAGGAAGACGAAGAGCGACGUGGCCAAGAGACCGUAGGCCAGCCAGGCCUCUCGGUCGUCCUCGCUGCCGGCAGCGAGCGAACCGAUCCCGCUGGAGACCCAAAUCGGCAGCGAGAGGCCGACCGCCAGACCGAUGAAGGCCGCCUCCCGGUUGUUGUCCCGGACACCGCGCGCUCGGAUUGCCAGACAAGUCACCGCCACCAGCAGCGCUCCGGGGAUAAUAAGUUUACCCGAGGGAAGCCACUAUCUGUCCGAGCGGAGUCUUGCAGGAGGUGGACGCCGACGAGCUUUGGCCGGCAGCUUGCUGCUGCUGCACCUGGAUCACCGCAGGUGGUUCGCCGUAAAACCAUUGCCCGACAAUGGCCACCUGCACCAACACUGCGAACACCAGCACCAGCGCCUGCAGCAGCAGAACCGAGACAAGAAAAAGCUUCGUGUGUACGAUUACUUCCUUUCUACAAGAUUCACGCAUCCAGCCGUCCACCCUGCGUCGAUCGGCGUUCUUUAAUUAAAGAAUCUACUGUAUAUGAUAGAUGAUUCGUAUCGAGGACGCGCUUACCUGAUAAGGCGCCGGCAGAUAGACACCGCUGUUCAAUGAAAGCAGGAAUACGCAUUUAACCAGCAGGGCGGCGAACACGAGGGCGGCAGGCAGACCUACUAACCGGAAAGCGGCGCAGGAUAGCGGGUUUUGGCUGAGGGAAGCUGCAGCGGAAAGACCCGCCAGGAGAAAGAGGCCCAGAAGUAGCGCCUGGCCCAGAAAUAAAUGUCGUCUAUUCGGCGCCGUCGUUCUGGCCUGAAACAGGAUCUUUCGUAAGACCAGGAUGAUGGACGAAUUCCUCUGUUGGUCUCUGUCGGAAACUUGAACGUCGGGAUUGACGAGUUCGAGGAUGACCGGCGACGAUAACCGACCGAAGCGUUUUCGAGCGAAGCGCACGUCGUGAACGCUGCGCUCCUACUGAGCUCGGCGCAGGCAUUCGCGAUGGCCAAACCGAAAGCGGACUGGAGUCAGUUCCGUUCCGGAGGUGAGGCCUAUCCGUUACAGAGAAGUCGGGGAGAUGGUGAUGACGAUGCAGAGGCGGCGGCGGUGGCGAUGGAGAGGAGCAGGAACGGAUACUGAAAAGAAAUUCCUUCCCGGACGACGUAUCGUGCGAUCGAAUCGAUUUCUGCAGAGGAAAACAAAUUAUUUCAUAUAUAUAUAUAUAUAUCGAGAGAUAACGAUAUCAUAAUUAUUCUUCUCCAGAUAUCUAUAGCGGUAAAUGGAAAAAUAAAAAAAUAAGAAUCUACUGGAUUAAUCCUUCUGUCAAUGAAUGGUAUCCGGGUAUCCAAGCAACUUUAAAUGUUAAAAGUAAUAAAGAGGAAAUGUUUGAUGUCCAGCAGCUGCUGUAUGAAGAAAUUGUUACAGCGCAACAUGUCGAAAACACCCAGAUGGGAUCCAUCCAUCGAUGAUCCGCCCCUGCUGAGCGGAGCGAGGUAGAAGGGCCUCUCCGAAAGAACGAGAGAGAAGGGCCCCGGCGAAGCUGAUCCUUCGACGUCGAGGACCGACCCCGGCGACGCAUUUACAUAUCUUACGUGUAAUAACCUCGAAAAAGUUUUUAACAAUGGCCCGAGGUCCGCCGCGGUCGAGCGAAAGCCGUAGAAGAAGGUGCAGAGUCGCGAAUGAGGGAGGAAACGAACCGUCUGCAAUCUUGAAGGAUGACAGAGGCACAUCCGAGAAUCGUUUCCGAGUAAAUUCCAUUGAUGAAUAGAAACGUCGACUUAUCCGAAAUUUCAAUUGGAAUUCCACUAAUUAAGGAACAAGAUCGUUAAAUUUCGCAGCUCGUCAACCAGAGAGCAAUCUCAUCCAAAUUCAAGAAUGUAUUUUUCUUCGGAUACCACCGCUACACCAGAUCGAACGUUUUACUGGAACAAGCGUUGCAUAAAAAGUGCACGCGAAAUUGCGACUGUCGCUCUUUGCCAGUUCCAAAGGAGAGUUGGACCUAUCGCCGUAAAAGGAGGGAAGCGCGCCGGGCUUUCGAGAUUUGAAGACUUGAGGAUUCGAAGCCAAUUGAAGAGAAGUGCGGAAUCUCCGUAAAGAGGAGAACGAUUCCUUUCAGAGUGUCGCCGUCUGGCCACACCCGGCCACUUUCUCCGCCAAAGUCAUUCCGGUACCGUAAGUUACUACCCUUAAUGACGCAAGCUGCCCACGCGAUCUAGCGUGUGGUGUUGCAGCGCACUUUCAUUCUGGACGAGCUGCAAAAAUGAAAAUUAAAUAUGUAAGAAAGAGUAAUUAAAUCACUGGUGACGUAACAAAUUA